UGUGGGGCAAAGAGGGGUGGAGGGGGGAACUUGUGGGGCUGAGAAGGGGACGCUUGUGGGGCCGCCCCCCAAGUCCUGCCCCACAACCGCAGGCGCUUGGCAGCGUUUUGCUGCCCCUUGGCUUCUGGAUGCUGCUGGAUGGGGAAGGCCUGGCUGUGCUGCUGGGACACCCGGUGCUGGCGCUGCAGCCCUGCUCCUACGUGUGCUGCGCCGCAGGGGCUCUGAGCGCUGCCAUGGGGGCCCUGGGGGGGCUGGGGGCCCUCCGGGGGGCGCGGGCACCGCUGGGGGUGUUCGCGGUGCUGCUGCUGCUGCUGCUGCUGGCGCAGGUGGUGCUGGGGGUGAUGGCCUACACACAGCGCAGCGCCGUGAGUGGGGCAGGCGGGACCUGUGGGGCGGGACGUGUGGGGCGGGGAGCUGUGGGGCGGGGAGCUGUGGGGCAGGGAGGUGUGGGGCACAGCACUGUGGGGCGGGGAGGUGUGGGGCGGGGACGUGUGGGUCACUCUAUGGGUCCCAGUGCCGUGGGUCAGAGGCCUAUGGGAGCCAACGCUGUGGGUCCCGGCACAGUGGGUCUCUAUGGGCCGCUAUGGGUCUCUGUGGGUCCCUAUGGAGCCUAUGGGUCUCUGUGGGUUCUUGCAGGGACUCUAUGGGGCCUCCGCGGGUCUUUAUGGGGCUCUAAAGGUUUCCUAUGGGAUCUCUAAGGGUCCCUAUGGGUCUUCAUGGUUUCCUAUGGGGCACAGUGGGUCUCUAUGGGUCUUUAGAUUUCUAUGGGGUCU
rnacentral:lncRNA from 1 species